ACCAGUCAAAAAAACCUCGCGCCCCUGCUCACCUCUUGCCUUGUUCCGCCGCCCGGAGCCCCCCACCGGCACAUCGCAUCGCAUGGCGGCGGCGGCAGUGGCCUCGAACGGGGCGUGUUCCCGGGCGCCUUGCAUCCAUCUACAGCGAGGUACAGACGAGCCGGGUCACGCACACGCUGCCCCUCCCCUCUAUCCUUGGUCCUCUGCUCCCACUUCACUCUCGCCAACGAGCCAGCCAGCACUGCCCGCUGGAAGCACCGAUGAGAUAGCCAAGCUGUUCUCCAGCCUAUACGGCCAGCCGUCCGUGCCGUGCUACCGUCGGCUGAGCUAGUCACGACGAAGCCGCUCAAGAUGGGCGUUGUGCUUCCUGGUGGCCAGGUUCCAUGGGGACAAUUAAUCGGCGUCUUUGAUUACCUGCAGGAGCGUGCCAAAGGCAGCACACCGUGUAUGGAUUAAGGGAGGCCCGACUCGCGUCAUGAAGGGCAACUGCAUCGAGCUGACUGCUGAUUUUGUGUACCCCUACAGAAACCAGAUGCAAGUUUCAAUGUGCUAUGGUUCUUCUAAGUCAUGUAAUGGCAUCUACCACUUGACAAUAUGUGCUGUGACUAAUGAAGAUGCACAAGACCACAUGCAUUCGUACUACUUUUAGAGAUUUCUGGGGACUUACAAGUGAGCAGCAUUUUGCCUAUUUUGGUCCUGAUUGGCAUCUUCCUAAUGACACUAUUUUUUACAAGGGUUAGCUUCUAUUGGUUCCUCUGUUCGCUUUUUUUCUUCCGAUGAGAGGUUCUGCAUGUUCCCUCAGUGAAGCCUUAUGUUCUCCCCAAAGAAGCAUUAUGUCCCAUAAUAAAUUACCUACGUUUGAGUGCAAGUAAUAUACAACAAUUUGUAUUUUUUUCCUCCAACGAGAAUAUGUGAUUGGUGUUCAGCUAUUUUUUA